AGUGAACGCUGGCGGUAGGCCUAACACAUGCAAGUCGAACGGCAGCACAGUAAGAGCUUGCUCUUACGGGUGGCGAGUGGCGGACGGGUGAGGAAUACAUCGGAAUCUACUUUUUCGUGGGGGAUAACGUAGGGAAACUUACGCUAAUACAGCAUACGACCUACGGGUGAAAGCAGGGGAUCUUCGGACCUUGCGCGAUUGAAUGAGCCGAUGUGGGAUUAGCUAGUUGGCGGGGUAAAGGCCCACCAAGGGGACGAUCGGUAGCUGGUCUGAGAGGAUGAUCGGCCACACUGGAACUUGGAUACGGUCCAGACUCCUACGGGAGGCAGCAGUGGGGAAUAUUGGGCAAUGGGCGCAAGCCUGGUCCAGCCAUACCGCGUGGGUGAAGAAGGCCUUCGGGUUGUAAAGCCCUUUUGUUGGGAAAGAAAAGCAGCAGGUUAAUACCCCGCUGUUCUGACGGUACCCAAAGGAUAAGCACCGGCUAACUUCGUG
rnacentral:rRNA from 1 species